AGAAGAGUAACUUUAGGUACACCUCCUCUGGCUCACAGGUGUCUUCUCACCUGCCCUGUCCGCCUCCAACAGCCCGAUAACAUAGCUGUCGUCAAUGGACAAAUGUUGUAGCAAGGAUCAUGCUGGGGAAAAGUCUAGUGGUUUUAGUCUUUCUAAUUUGUUGCAUCGUUGGAACCGAGAACAAUAAAGUUUUUCAAGCCACGGUCUUUAAUAUUUUCAAUGGACAAACAUCUAAACUUUCCAGCUACACGAUUGUAAAGCCUCAGCUUAUUCACAGGAGAUGGGCAAGAAAUGCCGACAGACUUCCUGAAUCGGGAAAGACUGAAGAACCCGAUGAACGUUCUUAUUCACUGAUCAUUGACAACAAGGAACAUUUCCUCCAUCUUAAAAAGAACACAGAGUUUUUAUCCAAAAGCUUUGUUCAGUUUUCCCAUGAUGCCAGUGGGAAUCUGAUGUCUACAUACCCUAAACCUGAUGUCCAUUGUUAUUACCAUGGGGAUGUGGAGGAUCAUGAAGAAUCUUUGGUCGCCCUCAGCACCUGCUCAGGCCUCAGGGGUGUCAUUCUCCUCGGCAACCAGAGUUAUGGGCUGGAACCAAUCAAGCAGUCGACAAACAACGAGCACCUCCUCUACCGCCUGGAGCACAGCCAAUCGGAACCCUUUGUCUGUGGAGUGACCAAUGAGACGUCGCACACUGAGAGUCACUCGCCUUUCCACCCUUCCCUCUCGAUGACAGCACUUUUACGGAGGAAACGUAAUUUACCUCAGACCAGAUAUGUAGAGUUGGUGUUGGUUGCUGACUUUCUCAGGUAUACCUACAAGAAGAAGAACGAGACAGCGGUGCGAGAGGAGAUGGUGGAACUAGCCAAUCUACUGGAUGGGUACUAUAAGAAGCUGAAUAUCCGCGUGGUGCUGGUAGGCCUGGAGAUCUUUAACGAAGCCAACCCCUUCAGUGUAGAAGGCUCUGCAGGGGAAGUGUUAGGACUGUUCGUCGACUGGAGGAAGACGGUGCUGCUACCCCGGAUCAGGAAUGAUGACGCACAGCUAAUUGUUGGUCUUGCGGGAGCGUAUGGGGGAGGGAUCCUGGGCAUGGCGUUCGUGGGAACAGUGUGUUCGAUGGCCACCGCUGGAGGAAUCAAUGUGUAUAGUGGAGACAACCUGGGCUACGUCUCUACUGUAGUGGCCCACGAGAUGGGCCAUAACCUGGGCAUGAAUCAUGACGACGGCCGCUGUACCUGUAAUGGAGGGAGCUGUAUCAUGGCUGCCUCGGCAACUGGAUCCACCCUCUUCAGUGACUGUAGUGCCUCUGACUUUGAGCGUCUGGUCCUGCGUGGAGGAGGUCUGUGUCUGUUGAACCAGCCCUCCCAGUCCAACAUCAUCUCUGUGGCUAAAUGUGGCAACGGCUUGUUAGAGGAAGGAGAGGACUGUGACUGUGGAACGCCCCAGGAAUGUACCAAUAAGUGCUGUGACGCGGCCACCUGUAAGUUGACCUGGGGAUCGGCCUGCGCUCAGGGAAGCUGCUGCAAGGACUGCAAGAUCAGCGUUUCAGGGACACCGUGCAGGGGAUCUGUCAAUACAUGUGACCUCCCAGAAUACUGUAACGGCUCCACAUCCUACUGUCCAUCUGACUUCUAUAUCAUGGAUGGGCUUCUCUGUGAGAACAACGCAGCGUAUUGUUACGAAGGCCGCUGCCAGACCUACGACUACCAAUGCAAACAACUUUUUGAAGAAGGUGCAAGCAAGGCAGCAGACAUCUGCUUUCAGACUGCUAAUCUAAAGGGGGAUGCGUUUGGGAACUGUGGAAUGACAUCAUCAGGGACCUACGUGAAAUGUAGUUUGGCUAAUGCCAUGUGUGGGAAGGUACAGUGCACUAACGUAGACACCAACAACCCCCCUCCUGGAGGCUCCGUCAGUAACCAGAUCAUUGACGGUUCUUCAUGUGUCAACGCAGACUUUAACCUCGGCACCGAUGUUCUGGACCCUGCCUAUGUCAACCAGGGCAGCCCCUGUGCCAAGGGGAUGGCCUGUCUUGACUUCCAGUGUGUGAAUGCCUCAGCUCUACUGUCUGUGAACCUCCACUGUGAUGCCAACAACACAUGUAACAGCCGCGGGGUGUGUAACAACCUGGGCCACUGCCACUGUAAUGACGGCUGGGGACCUCCUGACUGUGCCAAGUCAGGGAGAGGGGGCAGUGUGGACAGCGGGCCUGCUCAGAUAGAUUAUUCCCUGAGGGACGGCCUGCUGAUAUUCUUCCUGCUGGUGGUUCCCAUCCUGGUCCUGCUGGUGUUAGUGCUGCUCUAUGUGUUUAGAAGGGAUACCCUGGAAAGAUGCCUCAAAGGACCACGCUCCAGACGCUCUAGGUCAGGGAACACAGCGACUGGCCAAGCGAAUGGCAAUGUCCCGAAACAACCAACUCCACCUACCCCAGCAACACAGGCCCCACCCCCUCGGGUAAACUGUUCUCCCGGCAACACAGGCCCCACCCCCUCGGGUAAACUGUUCUCCCGGCAACACAGGCCCCACCCCCUCGGGUAAACUGUUCUCCCGGCAACACAGGCCCCACCCCCUCGGGUAAACUGUUCUCCCGGCAACACAGGCCCCACCCCCUCGGCCAAUGCCUACAUAUCCACCAUCCUCUACCUCAGGACCCAGGUAUGGAGAAAACAACAAUUGGAACCAACCUCCUGCCACGCAGCCGCCUCUCCCCCAGCAAGGACCAGGUGUUCCCAAACCCAUCCCUCCCAAGCAUUGACCCUGACACAAACACCCCUUUGAACAUAAUGGGGCUCUUCCUUUACUCGUUAUUGUAAAUUGCAUAUUUUGGAUUUUUACUCAGAUUGUAUGUUAGUUUGUGGAUAUCUCAAUUUUUAAACAUUUUAUUGCACGAACAUGAUUUGGUGACAGGGACUUUUUAAGAUAUUGCUUUUUACAUUAUACUACAGAAAUGAAGGUAACAUAUUUUGUAAUAAUAGAAAUAUACAUAUUGUUGAUAUUGUUAAGUUCCAGAAAGGCUCAAUUUAUUUUAUGAGCUGUUUACAAGAGUUUUUUUAAUAUUUAAAUGUUACUCAUAAUAAAUAUUGAAUAUUAGA